rnacentral:rRNA from 1 species
UACGGGGGGGGCAAGCGUUGUUCGGAAUUACUGGGCGUAAAGGGCGCGUAGGCGGCCUUCUAAGUCGGACGUGAAAUCCCUCGGCUUAACCGAGGAACUGCGUCCGAGACUGAAAGGCUUGAAUCCGGGAGAGGGAUGUGGAAUUCCAGGUGUAGCGGUGAAAUGCGUAGAUAUCUGGAGGAACACCGGUGGCGGAGGCGGCAUCCUGGACCGGCAUUGACGCUGAGGCGCGAAAGCUAGGGGAGCAAACGGA